UUAAGCGACUAAGCGUACACGGUGGAUGCCCUGGCAGUCAGAGGCGAUGAAGGACGUGCUAAUCUGCGAAAAGCGUCGGUAAGGUGAUAUGAACCGUUAUAACCGGCGAUGUCCGAAUGGGGAAACCCAGUGCAAUUCGUUGCACUAUCGUUAACUGAAUACAUAGGUUAACGAGGCGAACCGGGGGAACUGAAACAUCUAAGUACCCCGAGGAAAAGAAAUCAACCGAGAUUCCCCCAGUAGCGGCGAGCGAACGGGGAGCAGCCCAGAGUCUGAAUCAGCUUGUGUGUUAGUGGAACGGUCUGGAAAGUCCGACGGUACAGGGUGAUAGUCCCGUACACCAAAAUGCACAGGCUGUGAACUCGAAGAGUAGGGCGGGACACGUGGUAUCCUGUCUGAAUAUGGGGGGACCAUCCUCCAAGGCUAAAUACUCCUGACUGACCGAUAGUGAACCAGUACCGUGAGGGAAAGGCGAAAAGAACCCCGGCGAGGGGAGUGAAAAAGAACCUGAAACCGUGUACGUACAAGCAGUGGGAGCACCUUCGGGUGUGACUGCGUACCUUUUGUAUAAUGGGUCAGCGACUUAUAUUCUGUAGCAAGGUUAACCGUAUAGGGGAGCCGCAGGGAAACCGAGUCUUAACUGGGCGUUAAGUUGCAGGGUAUAGACCCGAAACCCGGUGAUCUAGCCAUGGGCAGGUUGAAGGUUGGGUAACACUAACUGGAGGACCGAACCGACUAAUGUUGAAAAAUUAGCGGAUGACUUGUGGCUGGGGGUGAAAGGCCAAUCAAACCGGGAGAUAGCUGGUUCUCCCCGAAAGCUAUUUAGGUAGCGCCUCGUGAAUUCAUCUUCGGGGGUAGAGCACUGUUUCGGCUAGGGGGUCAUCCCGACUUACCAACCCGAUGCAAACUACGAAUACCGAAGAAUGUUAUCACGGGAGACACACGGCGGGUGCUAACGUCCGUCGUGAAGAGGGAAACAACCCAGACCGCCAGCUAAGGUCCCAAAGUCAUGGUUAAGUGGGAAACGAUGUGGGAAGGCACAGACAGCCAGGAUGUUGGCUUAGAAGCAGCCAUCAUUUAAAGAAAGCGUAAUAGCUCACUGGUCGAGUCGGCCUGCGCGGAAGAUGUAACGGGGCUAAACCAUGCACCGAAGCUGCGGCAGCGACACUAUGUGUUGUUGGGUAGGGGAGCGUUCUGUAAGCCUGCGAAGGUGUGCUGUGAGGCAUGCUGGAGGUAUCAGAAGUGCGAAUGCUGACAUAAGUAACGAUAAAGCGGGUGAAAAGCCCGCUCGCCGGAAGACCAAGGGUUCCUGUCCAACGUUAAUCGGGGCAGGGUGAGUCGACCCCUAAGGCGAGGCCGAAAGGCGUAGUCGAUGGGAAACAGGUUAAUAUUCCUGUACUUGGUGUUACUGCGAAGGGGGGACGGAGAAGGCUAUGUUAGCCGGGCGACGGUUGUCCCGGUUUAAGCAUGUAGGCUGGUUAUCCAGGCAAAUCCGGAUAAUCAAGGCUGAGGUGUGAUGACGAGGCACUACGGUGCUGAAGUAACAAAUGCCCUGCUUCCAGGAAAAGCCUCUAAGCAUCAGGUAACAUCAAAUCGUACCCCAAACCGACACAGGUGGUCAGGUAGAGAAUACCAAGGCGCUUGAGAGAACUCGGGUGAAGGAACUAGGCAAAAUGGUGCCGUAACUUCGGGAGAAGGCACGCUGGUGUGUAGGUGAAGUCCCUGCGGAUGGAGCUGAGACCAGUCGAAGAUACCAGCUGGCUGCAACUGUUUAUUAAAAACACAGCACUGUGCAAACACGAAAGUGGACGUAUACGGUGUGACGCCUGCCCGGUGCCGGAAGGUUAAUUGAUGGGGUUAUCCGUAAGGAGAAGCUCUUGAUCGAAGCCCCGGUAAACGGCGGCCGUAACUAUAACGGUCCUAAGGUAGCGAAAUUCCUUGUCGGGUAAGUUCCGACCUGCACGAAUGGCGUAAUGAUGGCCAGGCUGUCUCCACCCGAGACUCAGUGAAAUUGAACUCGCUGUGAAGAUGCAGUGUACCCGCGGCAAGACGGAAAGACCCCGUGAACCUUUACUAUAGCUUGACACUGAACAUUGAGCCUUGAUGUGUAGGAUAGGUGGGAGGCUUUGAAGCGUGGACGCCAGUCUGCGUGGAGCCAACCUUGAAAUACCACCCUUUAAUGUUUGAUGUUCUAACGUUGGCCCCUUACCGGGGUUGCGGACAGUGUCUGGUGGGUAGUUUGACUGGGGCGGUCUCCUCCCAAAGCGUAACGGAGGAGCACGAAGGUUAGCUAAUCCUGGUCGGACAUCAGGAGGUUAGUGCAAUGGCAUAAGCUAGCUUGACUGCGAGCGUGACGGCGCGAGCAGGUGCGAAAGCAGGUCAUAGUGAUCCGGUGGUUCUGAAUGGAAGGGCCAUCGCUCAACGGAUAAAAGGUACUCCGGGGAUAACAGGCUGAUACCGCCCAAGAGUUCAUAUCGACGGCGGUGUUUGGCACCUCGAUGUCGGCUCAUCACAUCCUGGGGCUGAAGUAGGUCCCAAGGGUAUGGCUGUUCGCCAUUUAAAGUGGUACGCGAGCUGGGUUUAGAACGUCGUGAGACAGUUCGGUCCCUAUCUGCCGUGGGCGCUGGAGAAUUGAGGGGGGCUGCUCCUAGUACGAGAGGACCGGAGUGGACGCAUCACUGGUGUUCGGGUUGUCAUGCCAAUGGCACUGCCCGGUAGCUAAAUGCGGAAGAGAUAAGUGCUGAAAGCAUCUAAGCACGAAACUUGCCCCGAGAUGAGUUCUCCCUGAGACUUUAAGUCUCCUGAAGGAACGUUGAAGACGACGACGUUGAUAGGCCGGGUGUGUAAGCGCAGCGAUGCGUUGAGCUAACCGGUACUAAUGAACCGUGAGGCUUAACCU
rnacentral:rRNA from 1 species